rnacentral:rRNA from 1 species
GCUAUACAUGCAGUCGAGCGGACAGAUGGGAGCUUGCUCCCUGAUGUUAGCGGCGGACGGGUGAGUAACACGUGGGUAACCUGCCUGUAAGACUGGGAUAACUCCGGGAAACCGGGGCUAAUACCGGAUGCUUGUUUGAACCGCAUGGUUCAAACAUAAAAGGUGGCUUCGGCUACCACUUACAGAUGGACCCGCGGCGCAUUAGCUAGUUGGUGAGGUAACGGCUCACCAAGGCAACGAUGCGUAGCCGACCUGAGAGGGUGAUCGGCCACACUGGGACUGAGACACGGCCCAGACUCCUACGGGAGGCAGCAGUAGGGAAUCUUCCGCAAUGGACGAAAGUCUGACGGAGCAACGCCGCGUGAGUGAUGAAGGUUUUCGGAUCGUAAAGCUCUGUUGUUAGGGAAGAACAAGUACCGUUCGAAUAGGGCGGUACCUUGACGGUACCUAACCAGAAAGCCACGGCUAACUACGUGCCAGCAGCCGCGGUAAUACGUAGGUGGCAAGCGUUGUCCGGAAUUAUUGGGCGUAAAGGGCUCGCAGGCGGUUUCUUAAGUCUGAUGUGAAAGCCCCCGGCUCAACCGGGGAGGGUCAUUGGAAACUGGGGAACUUGAGUGCAGAAGAGGAGAGUGGAAUUCCACGUGUAGCGGUGAAAUGCGUAGAGAUGUGGAGGAACACCAGUGGCGAAGGCGACUCUCUGGUCUGUAACUGACGCUGAGGAGCGAAAGCGUGGGGAGCGAACAGGAUUAGAUACCCUGGUAGUCCACGCCGUAAACGAUGAGUGCUAAGUGUUAGGGGGUUUCCGCCCCUUAGUGCUGCAGCUAACGCAUUAAGCACUCCGCCUGGGGGAGUACGGUCGCAAGACUGAAACUCAAAGGAAUUGAC